GUCACACUCCCAUGAGCUUCACCUCUGCCUUCCUGAUUUCCAGUCCCAGCCUUCACUGGUUAUUGUGCAGUUCCUCUCUGACUUGUCUUCUGCGCGCUUGGACAUGCCCCUGCUCGAGCUGGGCGCAGCACGCCCAUGCAGCGACAAGGCUGCAGGCAAUUGCUCAUCAGCGCACCCGGACCUGAUAAGAGGGAGCGGCAUAAAAGCCAACGGACCCAAGAGACCUUCGCCAGAACGUAGCCAAUCUCCCUGAUGUCUUCCCUGUUGCCUGUGAUCGUGUCUCGCCUCACGACCUCCUUCCGGAUCUCUGCUUGCCUCCCUUGAUCCUCGACCCCUGCUUUGACACAGACAUUGUUGCCUCUCUCCAGCCCCCAACUGCUUGCCUCCCCGCUGACUGCCUCUUCGCCUUCUUCCUUGGAUUCGGCGAAAGACACACCGACAACGUCCCCUGGUAAAACUCACAUUGUUAAUUCUACACA